GUGAACGCUGGCGGUAGGCCUAACACAUGCAAGUCGAACGGCAGCACAGUAAGAGCUUGCUCUUACGGGUGGCGAGUGGCGGACGGGUGCGGAAUACAUCGGAAUCUACUUUUUCGUGGGGGAUAACGUAGGGAAACUUACGCUAAUACCGCAUACGACCUACGGGUGAAAGCAGGGGAUCUUCGGACCUCGCGCGAUUGAAUGAGCCGAUGUCGGAUUAGCUAGUUGGCGGGGUAAAGGCCCACCAAGGCGACGAUCCGUAGCUGGUCUGAGGGGAUGAUCAGCCACACUGGAACUGAGACACGGUCCAGACUCCUACGGGAGGCAGCAGUGGGGAAUAUUGGACAAUGGGCGCAAGCCUGAUCCAGCCAUACCGCGUGGGUGAAGAAGGCCUUCGGGUUGUAAAGCCCUUUUGUUGGGAAAGAAAAGCAGCAGGUUAAUACCCCGCUGUUCUGACGGUACCCAAAGAAUAAGCACCGGCUAACUUCGUG
rnacentral:rRNA from 1 species